rnacentral:misc_RNA from 1 species
AACCUAGCACACCUGCGGUGUGUACCUGCGGAGGGAUCAUUACCGAGUUUACAACUCCCAAACCCCUGUGAACAUACCACUUGUUGCCUCGGCGGAUCAGCCCGCUCCCGGUAAAACGGGACGGCCCGCCAGAGGACCCCUAAACUCUGUUUCUAUAUGUAACUUCUGAGUAAAACCAUAAAUAAAUCAAAACUUUCAGCAACGGAUCU